UACGGGGGGGGCAAGCGUUGUUCGGAAUUACUGGGCGUAAAGGGCUCGUAGGCGGCCAACUAAGUCAGACGUGAAAUCCCUCGGCUUAACCGGGGAACUGCGUCUGAUACUGGAUGGCUUGAGUUCGGGAGAGGGAUGCGGAAUUCCAGGUGUAGCGGUGAAAUGCGUAGAUAUCUGGAGGAACACCGGUGGCGAAGGCGGCAUCCUGGACCGAAACUGACGCUGAGGAGCGAAAGCCAGGGGAGCGAACAGG
rnacentral:rRNA from 1 species